UAUUCGCAUUUUGUUUCAGAUUAAUUUGAUUAUUUGUAUGUAAAGUUUACUUGUAUUUUAUUAAUAUUUGCAUAUGAUUUUGUAUCUUAUAUAGUUAACUAAGAUUUAUUAAUAUUCAAAUAUUUUAUUAUUUUUUUCUAACUACUAUAACUUAAUUUUAUAAAUUUGUUCUAAUUUAAAUAAUCGAUCAAAAUUAUCAACAUGCCAAAAACAUAUCACCAUUUAUCAAAAAGACGUAAAAAUCAAUUGAUUUCAUGUCAUAUGUCACAAUUACAUAAAAUUACAACUACAACAUCAAAUGUUUCCAAAAAACAUUUUAAAAUUAAUUCUGCUAAUAUAGAAAUGGCCUGUAAUUCUAACUCAGAGAAUACAUUUUCAAAUGAAACUAAUACUCUUCUCAGUGAUAACAUUUUUGAUGCAUCCAAUAAUAUCCUUAAUCCAUCAAUGAAUAAUAGUUUUUCAGCAUCUAAUAGUUUUGACAUUCCUAUUGCAUCAGAUCAAGAUAGUUCUUCAUUGUCUAAUUUUUCUUCCAAAUCAAUUGAUUUUAAUAAUGAAAUCUCGGUACAAAAUGUACAAAACUUAAGUUUACAAGAAGAUUUGCAAAUCUUAGUUUCAAAGCAUUGUAUUCCUCAAGGUACUGUAGAUAAACUUCUUUUUAUUUUGCGGAAACAUGGUCAUAAUGAUUUACCUGAAACGUGUAGAACUUUAAUGAAAACACCACGUAAUACUUUUCAAAAUAUAUCUGCUGUUAGUGGUGGAAGAUACAUUCAUUUUGGAUUAGCUUCGGGAAUAAAAUACUCUAUAUCAAAAUAUUGUAAAAUUAUGCCUCGUGAAAUAAAAAUAAAUAUUAAUAUCGAUGGUCUACCUUUAAGUAAAAGUUCAAGUAGCCAGUUUUGGCCUAUUCUCGCAUCAAUUGAAAUUAAAGAUCUUUAUACCGAGCCUUUUGCAGUUGGGGUAUUUCACGGAAUGUCCAAACCGAAUAAUGUAAAUGAUUUUCUUCAUCCUUUUGUUAAUGAAGCACAAAUUGUUUUUCGAGAUGGUAUAUUAUUAGAUAAUAAUUUCUAUUGUAAAAUCAUAUUGAAUGCAAUUUUAUGCGAUGCUCCUGCAAAAUCAUUAAUCACAUGUACCAAAGGUCACACAGGUUAUUUUUCAUGUUCAAAAUGUUUUCAAGAAGGUGAUUUUGUAUGUAAUCGAGUUGUCUUUCCGGAAAUUAAUUGCACACUAAGAACAAAUGAAUCAUUUCGUACUCGUAGUCAAGAGGAGCAUCAUAUAGGUGAUUCAAUUUUAGAAAAUCUCCCUAUAGAUAUGAUUUCACAAAUUCCUUUAGAUUACAUGCACCUUGUUUGUUUAGGAUCGAGGCGUUUAUUACAAUUUUAUGUCAGGGGUAAGAAAGGUGUAAGAUUAUCCAAAGUUGCAAUUGAUUCUAUUAAUAAACAUCUACUUGACACAAGAAAAUUUAUAACUAAAGAAUUUGCGAGAAUGCCAAAAAGUUUAAUAUGUAUUGAUAGUUGGAAAGCUACGGAAGUUCGCCUUUUUUUACUUUAUUUGGGUUUAGUUUUGUUAAAGCCAUUUUUGUCUAAAGACUAUUAUAAUCAUUUUUUAUCACUAAGUAUAGCUAUUCGUAUAUUUGCAGAUCCAAAAAAAUGUUUAGUUCUUAACGAUUUCGCACAUUCCUUGAUAACCUGGUUUAUUUCAAACUAUAGAAAUGCUUUUGGACUGGAAUAUCUUUCACAUAAUAUUCAUAAUUUAGAACAUCUUGCAAAUGAUGUCAAAACUUUGGGAUGUUUAGAUGCUUUUAGUUGUUUUAAAUUUGAGAAUCACAUGCAAAAAAUUAAAAAGCGAAUAAAAAAUUGUGGCAAACCAUUAGAGGAAUAUUCUAAUCGAAUUUUCGAAUUAAAUCAACUUCCAGUAGAAAAAUCAUAUUUAAAGUCAUAUCCUAUUAUUCAUUUUAAAAAGACAAUUCAAAACACUAAUGAUAUAUCUCAUUUAGAGUUCAAUGGCUUCAAUAUUUUUACAAAAGAAAAUGAAAACUGUUGUUUGUUGAACGAUAAUUCUUUGGCAUUUAUUUUAGAAGUAAUUUUAGAUAGUAAUGAUGUUCCAUACAUAAAUGUAAAGCGAAUUUUAUAUACCGAACCAUUUUUUAACACUCCAUGUGAUUCUAAAGAACUACUGGGUAUACAAACUUUUUUGGAAACAAGUCCUUUUAACAUAGAAAAAUUGCCGGCAACAAACAUAAAAACAAAAUGUUUGAAAUUAAAACAUCUUGAGUUGCAAAACACAUUUGUUAUAAUUCCACUUUUGCAUGCAUGUACCUAAUUAUUCUUAUUUUGAUUUUUUCUUUUAAAGAAUUAUUCUCAUCUUGCAGUAAUUUUAUGUUCUUUUUAACAGCUUUAUCAUUACCAAGAUUAAAUACUUUAGUGUUUUUUUUUAAAGAAUGAUGAGAUAAUACUGCAGGUUUUUUAUGACUAUUUUGAUUUUCAUAUAUUGCUAUGUAUGGUUGGUUUUAGCUUUAAGUUGUUUAAAAUAUUAAAUAAAUACUUUGAUAUUACCUAUAAUUAAGAUUAUUUUGUACCACGCCUUUUUUCACGGACAAUACUUUCGUUUUAUAACAAACUUUAUAUUCUACAAAGAAUAAUAGCUAUGUACAUAUAUACAUACACACAUAUAUUAGUAUAGAAUCUAUAGUGUCAAACUCACACACAUCCUCGAUACCCAUCGUUCUACCUGAACAUUACGGGUGGUGUGCGAAUUAUAAGACACUCUGUAUUCUGCAUAUAUAUUUUUUUCAGAGAAAAUGUCCGAAACAAAAUUGUACGCAAUUGUACAAUUUUUAGCUGAUGAAUCUUUCUCAGAGAUUCCAACAAAUUGGAUUCAACGAAAUAAUGAUGGCUUUAUUUGUUGGUGGCCUAACACAAAGAAUAUCAGUUCGCUUAUUAAAAAUCGAGAUGAACCGGAUAAAAAAUUAUGGUCAAGAUUUGAUAUAACGGUGAUAAAAUAUUGUUCGUCACUUGCAUCUGCUCGCAAAUCAGCUGCAGAUGCUCAGUAUGGUACGACUGAUGAAGAAAAAUGUGGCCGAGGACAAAGAAAAUUAAAGAAAAAUGAAUAUUAUUUUUCUGAGAACGAUGAAAAUGAUUAUACUGACGAUUCGAAUGAUGAAGAAAGAAACGCGUGUGAUGAUGAUGAAGAAAAUUACGAUAACGAAAAAAACAAAUCGGUUAAACACUUGAAACAGAAUAUUAAUCGACCUGUUUUUAAUUCUAUUCCUGAAUACAAUUCUCAGCAAAAAGAUAAUUGUUGCCAAUCUAUCAAUACUUCCAGUACUGAUAAAAAUUCAAAUUGUUUUGUUUCCAAAAAUACUGAUAAUGAAAUUUCAGUAUCACGCACAAAUAACAACAAAUGCAGUUCUAAUGAAAAAACAAAAAAAAUUACAUAUUCUGAUAAGUCCGCAUCACCCUCUGGUAUAAUGGAUAUUGAGAGUAUUCCUAUCUUAGAACUUCCAGAAAUACAAGAUAUUUAUAAAAUUCUAGAACGGAUAGAAACAGGUUUAGAUAAAGUUAUACGUGCAAACGUUGCUACCAAUUUCGAGCUAAAAAGUAUCUCGAGAAGAUUAAGUACAUUGGAGUCUGGUCAACGUAAUGAUGCAGAAUUGACAGAAAAUGAUAUGGUAAUGAUAAUGCCCUUAUUGCCACUACAAACAGUCGAAUCUAUAAAAGAAUUCGAAAAUUUAAUUAUAUCAAACGAAAUUGCUGCAUCGCAAUUU